rnacentral:misc_RNA from 1 species
GAUGAAGAACGUAGCGAAAUGCGAAAAGUAAUGUGAAUUGCAGAAUUCAGUGAAUCAUCGAAUCUUUGAACGCACAUUGCGCCCGCUGGUACUCCGGCGGGCACGCCUGUCCGAGCGUCAUUUCAACCCUCAAGCCCUCCUUCGGGAUGGGCCUGGUGUUGGGGCUCGGCCGCCAUCUCCGGCGGCCGUCCCCUAAAUACAGUGGCGGUCACGUCGCGACUCCUUUGCGUAGUAGAAACACCUCGCUCCGGAUAGCAACGCGGUCCACGCCGUAAAAUCCCCAAUUUUCAAUGGUUGACCUCGGAUCAGGUGGGAAUACCCGCUGAACUUAAGCAUAUCAAUAACGGAGGA